UGGGGAAUUUUGGACAAUGGGCGAAAGCCUGAUCCAGCAAUGCCGCGUGUGUGAAGAAGGCCUUCGGGUUGUAAAGCACUUUUGUCCGGAAAGAAAUCCUUGGCUCUAAUACAGUCGGGGGAUGACGGUACCGGAAGAAUAAGCACCGGCUAACUACGUGCCAGCAGCCGCGGUAAUACGUAGGGUGCAAGCGUUAAUCGGAAUUACUGGGCGUAAAGCGUGCGCAGGCGGUUUGCUAAGACCGAUGUGAAAUCCCCGGGCUCAACCUGGGAACUGCAUUGGUGACUGGCAGGCUAGAGUAUGGCAGAGGGGGGUAGAAUUCCACGUGUAGCAGUGAAAUGCGUAGAGAUGUGGAGGAAUACCGAUGGCGAAGGCAGCCCCCUGGGCCAAUACUGACGCUCAUGCACGAAAGGCGUGGGGAGCAAACAGGAUUAGAUACCCUGGUAGUCCACGCCCUAAAACGAUGUCAACUAGUUGUUGGGGAUUCAUUUCCUAGUAACGUAGCUAACGCGUGAAGUUGACCGCCUGGGGAGUACGGUCGCAAGAUUAAAACUCAAAGGAAUUGACGGGGUCAUAGCUGUUUCCU
rnacentral:rRNA from 1 species